rnacentral:rRNA from 1 species
GUUGUAUGGUUAAGUGACUAAGCGUACACGGUGGAUGCCUGGGCAGUCAGAGGCGAUGAAGGACGUACUAACUUGCGAUAAGCGCAGAUAAGGCAGUAAGAGCCGUUUGAGUCUGCGAUUUCCGAAUGGGGAAACCCAACUGCAUAAGCAGUUACUGUUAACUGAAUACAUAGGUUAACAGAGCAAACCGGGGGAACUGAAACAUCUAAGUACCCCGAGGAGAAGAAAUCAACCGAGAUUCCGGUAGUAGCGGCGAGCGAACCUGGAUUAGCCCUUAAGCACUCGGUGAAGUAGGUGAACAAGCUGGAAAGCUUGGCGAUACAGGGUGAUAGCCCCGUAACCGACGCUUCAUCGAGCGUGAAAUCGAGUAGGGCGGGACACGUGAUAUCCUGUCUGAAUAUGGGGGGACCAUCCUCCAAGGCUAAAUACUCCUGACUGACCGAUAGUGAACCAGUACCGUGAGGGAAAGGCGAAAAGAACCCCUGUGAGGGGAGUGAAAUAGAACCUGAAACCGUGUACGUACAAGCAGUAGGAGCACCUUCGUGGUGUGACUGCGUACCUUUUGUAUAAUGGGUCAGCGACUUAUAUUCAGUGGCAAGGUUAACCGUAUAGGGGAGCCGUAGCGAAAGCGAGUCUUAACUGGGCGUUCAGUCUCUGGAUAUAGACCCGAAACCGGGUGAUCUAGCCAUGGGCAGGUUGAAGGUUGAGUAACAUCAACUGGAGGACCGAACCGACUAAUGUUGAAAAAUUAGCGGAUGACUUGUGGCUAGGGGUGAAAGGCCAAUCAAACUCGGAGAUAGCUGGUUCUCCCCGAAAGCUAUUUAGGUAGCGCCUCGGACGAAUACUACUGGGGGUAGAGCACUGUUAAGGCUAGGGGGUCAUCCCGACUUACCAACCCUUUGCAAACUCCGAAUACCAGUAAGUACUAUCCGGGAGACACACGGCGGGUGCUAACGUCCGUCGUGGAGAGGGAAACAACCCAGACCGCCAGCUAAGGUCCCAAAGUAUUGCUAAGUGGGAAACGAUGUGGGAAGGCUCAGACAGCUAGGAUGUUGGCUUAGAAGCAGCCAUCAUUUAAAGAAAGCGUAAUAGCUCACUAGUCGAGUCGGCCUGCGCGGAAGAUGUAACGGGGCUAAGCAAUACACCGAAGCUGCGGCAAUGUCUUUUAGACAUUGGGUAGGGGAGCGUUCUGUAAGCCGUUGAAGGUGAAUCGUAAGGUUUGCUGGAGGUAUCAGAAGUGCGAAUGCUGACAUGAGUAACGACAAAGGGGGUGAAAAACCUCCUCGCCGGAAGACCAAGGGUUCCUGUCCAACGUUAAUCGGGGCAGGGUGAGUCGACCCCUAAGGUGAGGCCGAAAGGCGUAAUCGAUGGGAAACGGGUUAAUAUUCCCGUACUUCUGACUAUUGCGAUGGGGGGACGGAGAAGGCUAGGUGGGCCAGGCGACGGUUGUCCUGGUUCAAGUGCGUAGGCUUGAGAGUUAGGUAAAUCCGGCUCUCUCUAAGGCUGAGACACGACGUCGAGCUGCUACGGCAGUGAAGUCAUUGAUGCCAUGCUUCCAGGAAAAGCCUCUAAGCUUCAGAUAGUCAGGAAUCGUACCCCAAACCGACACAGGUGGUCGGGUAGAGAAUACCAAGGCGCUUGAGAGAACUCGGGUGAAGGAACUAGGCAAAAUGGUACCGUAACUUCGGGAGAAGGUACGCUCUUGAUGGUGAAGUCCCUCGCGGAUGGAGCUGACGAGAGUCGCAGAUACCAGGUGGCUGCAACUGUUUAUUAAAAACACAGCACUGUGCAAAAUCGCAAGAUGACGUAUACGGUGUGACGCCUGCCCGGUGCCGGAAGGUUAAUUGAUGGGGUUAGCGCAAGCGAAGCUCUUGAUCGAAGCCCCGGUAAACGGCGGCCGUAACUAUAACGGUCCUAAGGUAGCGAAAUUCCUUGUCGGGUAAGUUCCGACCUGCACGAAUGGCGUAAUGAUGGCCACGCUGUCUCCACCCGAGACUCAGUGAAAUUGAAAUCGCUGUGAAGAUGCAGUGUACCCGCGGCUAGACGGAAAGACCCCGUGAACCUUUACUACAGCUUGGCACUGAACAUUGAACCUACAUGUGUAGGAUAGGUGGGAGGCUAUGAAGACGUGACGCCAGUUGCGUUGGAGCCGUCCUUGAAAUACCACCCUUGUAUGUUUGAUGUUCUAACUUAG